ACCAGACUCCUACGGGAGGCAGCAGUGGGGAAUAUUGCACAAUGGGGGAAACCCUGAUGCAGCGACGCCGCGUGAGUGAAGAAGUAAUUCGUUAUGUAAAGCUCUAUCAGCAGGGAAGAAAAUGACGGUACCUGAGUAAGAAGCCCCGGCUAACUACGUGCCAGCAGCCGCGGUAAUACGUAGGGGGCAAGCGUUAUCCGGAUUUACUGGGUGUAAAGGGAGCGUAGACGGCAUGGCAAGUCAGAUGUGAAAGCCCGGGGCUCAACCCCGGGACUGCAUUUGAAACUGUCAGGCUGGAGUGCAGGAGAGGUAAGUGGAAUUCCUAGUGUAGCGGUGAAAUGCGUAGAUAUUAGGAGGAACACCGGUGGCGAAGGCGGCCUGCUGGACUGCGACUGACGUUGAGGCCCGAAAGCGUGGGGAGCAAACAGGAUUAGAUACCCGUGUAU
rnacentral:rRNA from 1 species